AUUGAACGCUGGCGGCAUGCCUUACACAUGCAAGUCGAACGGCAGCGCGGACUUCGGUCUGGCGGCGAGUGGCGAACGGGUGAGUAAUACAUCGGAACGUACCCUGUUGUGGGGGAUAACUAGUCGAAAGAUUAGCUAAUACCGCAUAAGACCUGCGGGUGAAAGUGGGGGAUCGCAAGGCCUCACGCAGCAGGAGCGGCCGAUGUCCGAUUAGCUAGUUGGUGGGGUAAAGGCCCACCAAGGCGACGAUCAGUAGCUGGACUGAGAGGACGAUCAGCCACACUGGGACUGAGACACCGCCCAGACUACUACGGGAGGCAGCAGUGGGGAAUUUUAGGCAAUGGGGGCAACCCUGAUCCAGCAAUGCCGCGUGUGUGAAGAAGGCCUUCGGGUUGUAAAGCACUUUUGUCCGGAAAGAAAUCGCGCUGGUUAAUACCUGGCGUGGAUGACGGUACCGGAAGAAUAAGCACCGGCUAACUACGUG
rnacentral:rRNA from 1 species